GACGAACGCUGGCGGCGCGCCUAACACAUGCAAGUCGAACGGAGCUGAGAGAAGCUUGCUUUUCUUAGCUUAGUGGCGAACGGGUGAGUAACGCGUGAGUAACCUGCCCUGGAGUGGGGGACAACAGUUGGAAACGACUGCUAAUACCGCAUAAGCCCACGAUCCGGCAUCGGAUUGAGGGAAAAGGAUUUAUUCGCUUCAGGAUGGACUCGCGUCCAAUUAGCUAGUUGGUGAGGUAACGGCCCACCAAGGCGACGAUUGGUAGCCGGACUGAGAGGUUGAAACGGCAAAAUGGGAAUGAGGCAACGGCCCAAACCCCAAGGGAGGGAGCAGUGGGGGAUAUUGCACAAUGGGGGAAACCCUGAUGCAGCGACGCCGCGUGGAGGAAGAAGGUUUUCGGAUUGUAAACUCCUGUCGUUAGGGACGAUAAUGACGGUACCUAACAAGAAAGCACCGGCUAACUACGUG
rnacentral:rRNA from 1 species